GACGAACGCUGGCGGCGUGCCUAAUACAUGCAAGUCGAACGCAGUUGGGACGGGUGAGUAACACGUGGGUAACCUCCCAUCAGAGGGGAUAACACUUGGAAACAGGUGCUAAACCGAUAUUGAUGGAUGUACCCGCGGUGCAUUAGCUAGUUGGUGAGGUAACGGCUCACCAAGUCCACGAUGCAUAGGCGACCUGCGAGGGUGCUCUGCCACAAUGGUACUGAGACACGGCCCAGACUCCUACGGGAGGAAGCAGUAGGGAAUCUUCGGCAAUGGACGAAAGUCUGACCGAGCUACGCCGCGUGAUGGAAGAAGGUUUUCGGAUCGUAAACCUCUGUGGUUAGAGAAGCGGUAUCUAACCAGAACGCCACGGCUAACUACGUGCUAGCAGACGAGAUAAUAC
rnacentral:rRNA from 1 species